rnacentral:rRNA from 1 species
GACGAACGCUGGCGGCGUGCUUAACACAUGCAAGUCGAACGGAAAGGCCCUGCUUUUGUGGGGUGCUCGAGUGGCGAACGGGUGAGUAACACGUGAGUAACCUGCCCUUGACUUUGGGAUAACUUCAGGAAACUGGGGCUAAUACCGGAUAGGAGCUCCUGCUGCAUGGUGGGGGUUGGAAAGUUUCGGCGGUUGGGGAUGGACUCGCGGCUUAUCAGCUUGUUGGUGGGGUAGUGGCUUACCAAGGCUUUGGCGGGUAGCCGGCCAGAGAGGGUGACCGGCCACAUUGGGACUGAGAUACGGCCCAGACUCCUACGGGAGGCAGCAGUGGGGAAUAUUGCACAAUGGGCGGAAGCCUGAUGCAGCAACGCCGCGUGCGGGAUGACGGCCUUCGGGUUGUAAACCGCUUUCGCCUGUGACGAAGCGUGAGUGACGGUAAUGGGUAAAGAAGCACCGGCUAACUACGUG